AUUGAACGCUAGCGGGAUGCCUUACACAUGCAAGUCGAACGGAGUGGCUAACGGGUGAGUAAUGUAUCGGUACGUGCCCAGUAGCGUGGGAUAACUAAGCGAAAGAGUAGCUAAUACCGCAUACUAUUGGAGCGGCCGAUAUCGGAUUCGCUAGUUGGUGUGGUACCGGUUCACCAAGGGGACGAUCCGUAGCUGGGUUGAGAGGACGACCAGCCACACUGGGACUGAGACACGGCCCAGACUCCUACGGGAGGCAGCAGUGGGGAAUGUUGGACAAUGGGGGAAACCCUGAUCCAGCCAGCCCGCGUGUGCGAUGAAGGCCUUCGGGUUGUAAAGCACUUUUGGCAGGAAAGCGGUACCUGCAGAAUAAGCACCGGCUAACUACGUGCCAGCAGCCGCGGUAAUAC
rnacentral:rRNA from 1 species